rnacentral:rRNA from 1 species
UGAGGAAUAUUGGACAAUGGAGGAAACUCUGAUCCAGCCAUGCCGCGUGUAUGAAGACGGCCUUAGGGUUGUAAAGUACUUUCAAACGUGAAGAUAAUGACGGUAGCGUUAGAAGAAGCUCCGGCUAAAUUCGUGCCAGCAGCCGCGGUAAUACGAAUGGAGCAAGCGUUGUUCGGAAUCACUGGGCUUAAAGCGUAUGUAGGCGGAAUCGAAAGUCAGGAGUGAAAUCCCGGGGCUCAACCCCGGAACUGCUCUUGAAACUCCGGUUCUAGAAUCCUGGAGAGGUUGGGAGAAUUCCUAGUGUAGAGGUGAAAUUCGCAGAUAUUAGGAGGAAUACCAGUGGCGUAGGCGCCCAACUGGACAGGUAUUGACGCUCAGAUACGAAAGCGUGGGGAGCAAACAGGAUUAGAUACCCCCGUAGUCC